rnacentral:rRNA from 1 species
CAAUAGCGUAUAUUAAAGUUGUUGCGGUUAAAAAGCUCGUAGUUGGAUUUCUGCCGAGGACGACCGGUCCGCCCUCUGGGUGAGUAUCUGGCUCGGCCUGGGCAUCUUCUUGGAGAACGUAGCUGCACUUGACUGUGUGGUGCGGUAUCCAGGACUUUUACUUUGAGGAAAUUAGAGUGUUUCAGGCAGGCUUAGCCGGAAUACAUUAGCAUGGAAUAAUUGAAUAGGACUACUGUCCCGUUGUUGGUUACGUGGAUAGGAGUAAUGAUUAAUAGGGAUAGUUGGGGGCAUUAGUAUUUAUUAGCUAGAGGUGGAAUUCUCUAAUUUGAUAAAGACUAACUUAUGCGAAAGCAUUUGCCAAGGAUGUUUUCAUUAA